GCUUGGCUGGCACAGUGGUUUGUGUGCUGGACUAUGACUCUGGAAACCUGGGUUCGAGUUUUCUCGGGGCAAGUC